rnacentral:rRNA from 1 species
UACGGAGGAUGCGAGCGUUAUCCGGAUUUAUUGGGUUUAAAGGGUGCGUAGGCGGAUUGAUAAGUUAGAGGUGAAAUGUCCGAGCUCAACUCGGGAACUGCCUCUAAUACUGUUGAUCUAGAGAGUAGAUGCGGUAGGCGGAAUGUAUGGUGUAGCGGUGAAAUGCUUAGAGAUCAUACAGAACACCGAUUGCGAAGGCAGCGCACCGGCGCCCUACUGACGCUCAGGCACGAAAGCGUGGGUAUCGAACAGG